rnacentral:rRNA from 1 species
AUUGAACGCUGGCGGCAGGCUUAACACAUGCAAGUCGAGCGGGGUGAUGGUGCUUGCACUAUCACUUAGCGGCGGACGGGUGAGUAAUGCUUAGGAAUCUGCCUAUUAGUGGGGGACAACAUCUCGAAAGGGAUGCUAAUACCGCAUACGUCCUACGGGAGAAAGCAGGGGAUCACUUGUGACCUUGCGCUAAUAGAUGAGCCUAAGUCGGAUUAGCUAGUUGGUGGGGUAAAGGCCUACCAAGGCGACGAUCUGUAGCGGGUCUGAGAGGAUGAUCCGCCACACUGGGACGGAGGGACGGCCCAGACUCCUACGGGAGGCAGCAGUGGGGAAUAUUGGACAAUGGGGGGAACCCUGAUCCAGCCAUGCCGCGUGUGUGAAGAAGGCCUUAUGGUUGUAAAGCACUUUAAGCGAGGAGGAGGCUCUUUUGGUUAAUACCCAGAAUGAGUGGACGUUACUCGCAGAAUAAGCACCGGCUAACUCUGUGCCAGCAGCCGCCGUAA